CGGGGGGAGCAUGCGUUGUUCGGAUUUACUGGGCGUAAAGGGCGCGUAGGCGGCCACCGCAAGUCGACUGUGAAAUCUCCGGGCUUAACCCGGAAAGGUCGGCCGAUACUGCGGGGCUAGAGUGCAGAAGGGGCAACUGGAAUUCUCGGUGUAGCGGUGAAAUGCGUAGAUAUCGAGAGGAACACCUGCGGCGAAGGCGGGUUGCUGGGCUGACACUGACGCUGAUGCGCGAAAGCUAGGGGAGCGAACGGGAUUAGAUACCCCGGUAGUCCUAGCCUUAAACGAUGAAUGCUUGGUGUCUGGGGUUUUAUAGUCCCCGGGUGCCGUCGCUAACGCUUUAAGCAUUCCGCCUGGGGAGUACGGUCGCAAGACUG
rnacentral:rRNA from 1 species